UGGGAGGAGGGAGGAAAGGAAGGAAGGAUGGAGAGGGAGAGAGAGAGACUGACCCACCGGGUGAGGACUGGGGAAACCACGGAUCUGAGCAGCAGCCCCUUUGGGCGGGCACCCUGAGGCACGCAGAGGGAAGCUGGAGCACGGAGCCCACCAAGGUGAAGUGACUCCGGGGUCGAAGCGGAGGCUUGCUCGCUGUGCACCUGGAGCCGCCAAGUAGAGGCGUCUACAAGAGUCUGGGCGCUCCUCGGAGCGCUCCUUCUCCGCGUCCCCAAACCAAGAGGAUCACCCAAGUCCCAGGAGCAGGAGUCCGGAGGCUGCCUGAAGGACAAAGCUGCUGAGUUCUAGAAAGAGAUAACUUAAAUGUUUACGUCUGGCAGGAGAGGAACAUUCACCAGCCUGUGCUCAGCAAUCCCAACUUCUCCUCAGAAGAUCCAUGGCUGCGUAGCUGAUGGAUGGUAAGGUUGUCCAGUGAUGCUGCGUAGCUUGCAAGAUCACACCUGGGGUUGACAGCAAGGACAGACCCAGACACUGAGAAGCAAAGCUCUGGAAAACCUGCCUACGGGUGGAGCGUUAGAUCGGCGUGUUUGCACUUUUUUGUGCUCUGGUCUUCCAUUCCCGUAGAUAUCAUGGCCUUCCUGUUUGCUGGCUGAAACGCAGAUGUGGGUGGUUGGGGUCUAUCAUAUUUUGUAGUAGCAUUUUGGUACCGUGUUAAAUUAAAACUAAACACUGGGCAAAGUGGCAUCCAAAAGAUCUUUAUAAAAUGUGGUAUUGAAAAUAGUCAUAGAUUCUGGUUUGGUUUAGUUGCCAAAGCCAAAUAAAGUGCACAGUAAUGAAAA
rnacentral:lncRNA from 1 species